rnacentral:rRNA from 1 species
UUCAUUCCUUUCGUUUUUUUUUGGGAGGGUAAAAAUGUACAAGGUUUCCGUAGGUGAACCUGCGGAAGGAUCAUUG